rnacentral:rRNA from 1 species
AGGGUUUGAUCAUGGCUCAGAACGUACGCUGGCGGCACGCCUAAUACAUGCAAGUCGAACGAAGUAGCAAUACUUAGUGGCAGACGGGUGAGUAACAUGUAGGUAUCUUCCCAUUGGUGAGGAAUAACACGAGGAAACUUGUGCUAAUACCUCAUAAGUCUUUACGGAGAAAGCUUUAUGCGCCGAUGGAUGAGCCUGCACUUGAUUAGUUUGUUGGUAGGGUAAUGGCCUACCAAGACAAUGAUCAAUAGCUGAUUUGAGAGGAUGAUCAGCCACAUUGGGACUGAGACACGGCCCAAACUCCUACGGGAGGCAGCAGUAGGGAAUCUUGCACAAUGGGGGAAACCCUGAUGCAGCGAUGCCGCGUGAGUGAAGAAGGCCUUUGGGUUGUAAAGCUCUUUCGUCGGGGAAGAAAAUGACUGUACCCGAAUAAGAAGGUCCGGCUAACUUCGUGCCAGCAGCCGCGGUAAUACGAAGGGACCUAGCGUAGUUCGGAAUUACUGGGCUUAAAGAGUUCGUAGGUGGUUGAAAAAGUUGGUGGUGAAAUCCCAGAGCUUAACUCUGGAACUGCCAUCAAAACUUUUUAGCUAGAGUAUGAUAGAGGAAAGCAGAAUUUCUAGUGUAGAGGUGAAAUUCGUAGAUAUUAGAAAGAAUACCAAUUGCGAAGGCAGCUUUCUGGAUCAUUACUGACACUGAGGAACGAAAGCAUGGGUAGCGAAGAGGAUUAGAUACCCUCGUAGUCCAUGCCGUAAACGAUGUGUGUUAGACGUUGGAAAUUUAUUUUCAGUGUCGCAGCGAAAGCGAUAAACACACCGCCUGGGGAGUACGACCGCAAGGUUAAAACUCAAAUGAAUUGACGGGGACCCGCACAAGUAGUGGAGCAUGUGGUUUAAUUCGAAGAUACGCGCAGAACCUUACCAACACUUGACAUGUUCGUCGCGACUCUAAGAGAUUAGAGUUUUCGGUUCGGCCGGACGAAACACAGGUGCUGCAUGGCUGUCGUCAGCUCGUGUCGUGAGAUGUUGGGUUAAGUCCCGCAACGAGCGCAACCCUCACUUUUAGUUGCCAUCAUUAAGUUGGGCACUCUGAAAGAACUGCCAGUGAUAAGCUGGAGGAAGGUGGGGAUGACGUCAAGUCCUCAUGGCCCUUACGUGUUGGGCUACACACGUGCUACAAUGGUAUCUACAACAGGAAGCAAGACGGCGACGUUAAGCAAAUCCUUAAAAGAUACCUCAGUUCGGAUUGCACUCUGCAACUCGAGUGCAUGAAGCUGGAAUUACUAGUAAUCGUGGAUCAGCGUGCCACGGUGAAUGCGUUCCCGGGUCUUGUACACACCGCCCGUCACACCAUGGGAGUUGGUUCUACCUUAAGGCAAGGUUUCAAACCCUUGACCACGGUAUAGUCAGCGACUGGGGUGAAGUCGUAACAAGGUAGCCGUA